rnacentral:lncRNA from 1 species
AGUUUGCCAUGGCUUUGGUCUCAUUCAUUUAUCAUGUUUGGUUCCUGUUUUAUGAUUGAUUGAAGUUGAUGCAUGAUUUAGUGCCUUGUAUGAGCUUGUUUGAACAUGCUUUGACUUAGGGAUUUUAAUUGACUUGCUUCCCUUUAUCCAAUUGGCCUGAUUUUUGGUAUGUUGCUCAUUUAAUGUGUUCUGUUUAGGCAUGCUUUUUCUUGGAAUUUAUUGAGCCAUUUUGGUAUUGAUAUGCUUGUGUUCAUUUUGUUUGCUCCAAU